AUUGAACGCUGGCGGCAGGCCUAACACAUGCAAGUCGGGCGAGGGGCGGACGGGUGAGUAAUGUAUGGGGAUCUGCCUGAUGGAGGGGGAUAACUACUGGAAACGGUAGCUAAUACCGCAUACCAUCAGAUGAACCCAUAUGGGAUUAGCUUGUAGGUGAGGUAACGGCUCACCAGGGCGACGAUCCCUAGCUGGUCUGAGAGGAUGAUCAGAAACACUGGGGCGGAGACACGUCCCCGACGCCUACGGGAGGCAGCAGUGGGGAAUAUUGCACAAUGGGCGCAAGCCUGAUGCAGCCAUGCCGCGUGUGUGAAGAAGGCCUUCGGGUUGUAAAGUACUUUCAGUCGGGAGGCGUUACCGACAGAAGAAGCACCGGCUAACGCCGUGCCAGCAGCCGCGGUAAUAC
rnacentral:rRNA from 1 species